rnacentral:misc_RNA from 1 species
UACGUAGGCAGCAAGCGUUGUUCGGAAUUACUGGGCGUAAAGGGUGCGUAGGCGGCCCUAUAAGUAUGGUGUGAAAUCUCCCGGCUUAACUGGGAGGGUGCGCUAUAGACUGUGGGGCUCGAGUGUGGGAGAGGAAAGUGGAAUUCCUGGUGUAGCGGUGAAAUGCGUAGAUAUCAGGAGGAACACCGGUGGUGUAAACGGCUUUCUGGACCAUAACUGACGCUGAGGCACGAAAGCGUGGGUAGCAAACAGG